GACGAACGCUGGCGGCGUGCUUAACACAUGCAAGUCGAGCGGUAAGGCCCUUUCGGGGGUACACGAGCGGCGAACGGGUGAGUAACACGUGGGUGACCUGCCCUCAGCUCUGGGAUAAGCCCGGGAAACUGGGUCUAAUACCGGAUAUGACUCCAUGACGCAUGUUGUGGGGUGGAAAGCCUUGUGCGGCUGAGGAUGGGCCCGCGGCCUAUCAGCUUGUUGGUGGGGUGAUGGCCUACCAAGGCGACGACGGGUAGCCGGCCUGAGAGGGCGACCGGCCACACUGGGACUGAGAUACGGCCCAGACUCCACGGGAGGCAGCAGUGGGGAAUCUUGCGCAAUGGGCGAAAGCCUGACGCAGCGACGCCGCGUGAGGGAUGACGGCCUGG
rnacentral:rRNA from 1 species